GACGAACGCUGGCGGCGUGCUUAGCACAUGCAAGUCGAACGGAAAGGCCCUGCUUUUGUGGGGUGCUCGAGUGGCGAACGGGUGAGUAACACGUGAGUAACCUGCCCUUGACUUUGGGAUAACUUCAGGAAACUGGGGCUAAUACCGGAUAGGAGCUCCUGCUGCAUGGUGGGGGUUGGAAAGUUUCGGCGGUUGGGGAUGGACUCGCGGCUUAUCAGCUUGUUGGUGGGGUAGUGGCUUACCAAGGCUUUGACGGGUAGCCGGCCUGAGAGGGUGACCGGCCACAUUGGGACUAAGAUACGGCCCAGACUCCUACGGGAGACAGCAGUGGGGAAUAUUGCACAAUGGGCGGAAGCCUGAUGCAGCAGCGCCGCGUGCGGGAUGACGGCCUUCGGGUUGUAAACCGCUUUCGCCUGUGACGAAGCGUGAGUGACGGUAAUGGGUAAAGAAGCACCGGCUAACUACGUG
rnacentral:rRNA from 1 species